AACUUUUAGCAACGGAUCACUUGGUUUUGGCAUCGAUGAAGAACGCAGCGAAAUGCGAUAAGUAAUGCGAAUUGCAGAAUCCGUGAGUCAUCGAAUCUUUGAACGCAUAUUGCGCCCUUUGGUAUUCCGAAGGGCAUGCCUGUUCGAGCGUCAUUAUCACCUCUCAAGCCUGGCUUGUUGUUGGAUCUAGGUCUUGCCUUGGGCAUGACCGGUCCCAAAGAUAAUGACGGAGUCUGUGAGGACCCCAGUACACUGAGCUUUCUAAGCACGUAUUAGGUGGAAAUCCAGGCCCGGUCUUACCCAUAUUUUAUCAAGGUUGACCUCGGAUCAGGUAGGAAUACCCGCUGAACUUAAGCAUAUCAAUAAGCGGAGGAU
rnacentral:misc_RNA from 1 species